rnacentral:misc_RNA from 1 species
GAACAAACAGAUUGCAAAAUAAUUUGCAACACAUGCUUUCAAGGAAAUAAAAUUAUAAAAAAAAAAUCUUGCAGCAUUUUUUCCUGUCCAAAAAUGGAAGUAAACUAGUCUUGUUUCUUUUUAAUAUGCAGGCUAACUUUCUAAUGGCAUGAGGACUCCAUCAACACUACUCUAAUUUUCUUUCUAACAUAAGUGGAAAAACAUCUGGGAAUACAUGUACUCUAAUUUACUUGGGCAGAAGUUCCAUUAACACUCUCCUUUAGCUUAUUUAACACUCUCCUUUAGCUUAUCACUUUGCCAAGCCAUACUACAAAAAGGGAUUCUUUCGCUAACAUAAAGACUAGUUAAGGAUUAUUAAACUUAACAUCGUUUGUCAAUCUAAUAAU